GUGAGUCAUCGAAUCUUUGAACGCACAUUGCGCCCCUUGGUAUUCCGGGGGGCAUGCCUGUUCGAGCGUCAUUUCAACCCUCAAGCUCUGCUUGGUCUUGGGCCGCGCCGGCAACGGCGGGCCUCAAAAACAGUGGCGGCGCCAUCGUGUUCCUCAGCGUAGUAAUUCUUCUCGCUGUUGGGCCCCGGUGGCCGCUGGCCAGCAACCCCCAAUUUUUCUAUGGUUGACCUCGGAUCAGGUAGGGAUACCCGCUGAACUUAAGCAUAUCAAUAAGCGGAGGA
rnacentral:misc_RNA from 1 species